rnacentral:rRNA from 1 species
UACGUAGGGUGCAAGCGUUGUCCGGAAUCAUUGGGCGUAAAAGCGCGCGUAGGUGGCUUCGUAAGUCCGUUGUGAAAGUCAAAGGCUCAACCUUUGAAUGCCGAUGGAUACUGCGAAGCUAGAGUACGGAAGAGGCGAGUGGAAUUCCUGGUGUAGCGGUGGAAUGCGCAGAUAUCAGGAGGAACACCAAUAGCGAAGGCAGCUCGCUGGGACGUUACUGACACUAAGCGCGAAAGCGUGGGGAGCGAACGAGG